GUGGGGAAUAUUGGACAAUGGGCGAAAGCCUGAUCCAGCAAUACCGCGUGUGUGAAGAAGGCCUGAGGGUUGUAAAGCACUUUCAAUAGGAAGGAAUACCUAUCGGUUAAUACCCGGUAGACUGACAUUACCUAUACAAGAAGCACCGGCUAACUCCGUGCCAGCAGCCGCGGUAAUACGGAGGGUGCAAGCGUUAAUCGGAAUUACUGGGCGUAAAGCGUGCGUAGGCGGCUUAUUAAGUCAGAUGUGAAAGCCCUGGGCUUAACCUGGGAACUGCAUUUGAAACUGGUAAGCUAGAGUUGAGUAGAGGAGAGUGGAAUUUCAGGUGUAGCGGUGAAAUGCGUAGAGAUCUGAAGGAACACCAGUGGCGAAGGCGGCUCUCUGGACUCAAACUGACGCUGAGGUACGAAAGCGUGGGUAGCAAACAGGAUUAGAAACCCUAGUAGUCC
rnacentral:rRNA from 1 species